rnacentral:rRNA from 1 species
AAUGGGUCAGCGACUUAUAUUCUGUAGCAAGGUUAACCGAAUAGGGGAGCCGCAGGGAAACCGAGUCUUAAUUGGGCGUUAAGUUGCAGGGUAUAGACCCGAAACCCGGUGAUCUAGCCAUGGGCAGGUUGAAGGUUGGGUAACACUAACUGGAGGACCGAACCGACUAAUGUUGAAAAAUUAGCGGAUGACCUGUGGCUGGGGGUGAAAGGCCAAUCAAACCGGGAGAUAGCUGGUUCUCCCCGAAAGCUAUUUAGGUAGCGCCUCGUGAAUUCAUCUCCGGGGGUAGAGCACUGUUUCGGCUAGGGGGCCAUCCCGGCUUACCAACCCGAUGCAAACUGCGAAUACCGGAGAAUGUUAUCACGGGAGACACACGGCGGGUGCUAACGUCCGUCGUGAAGAGGGAAACAACCCAGACCGCCAGCUAAGGUCCCAAAGUCAUGGUUAAGUGGGAAACGAUGUGGGAAGGCCCAGACAGCCAGGAUGUUGGCUUAGAAGCAGCCAUCAUUUAAAGAAAGCGUAAUAGCUCACUGGUCGAGUCGGCCUGCGCGGAAGAUGUAACGGGGCUAAACCAUGCACCGAAGCUGCGGCAGCGACGCUGAUGCGUUGUUGGGUAGGGGAGCGUUCUGUAAGCCUGUGAAGGUGUGUCGUGAGGCAUGCUGGAGGUAUCAGAAGUGCGAAUGCUGACAUAAGUAACGAUAAAGCGGGUGAAAAGCCCGCUCGCCGGAAGACCAAGGGUUCCUGUCCAACGUUAAUCGGGGCAGGGUGAGUCGACCCCUAAGGCGAGGCCGAAAGGCGUAGUCGAUGGGAAACGGGUUAAUAUUCCCGUACUUGGUGUUACUGCGAAGGGGGGACGGAGAAGGCUAUGUUGGCCGGGCGACGGUUGUCCCGGUUUAAGCGUGUAGGUGUGUGUUCCAGGUAAAUCCGGUUCACUUUAACACUGAGGCGUGAUGACGAGGCACUACGGUGCUGAAGCAACAAAUGCCCUGCUUCCAGGAAAAGCCUCUAAGCAUCAGGUAACAUCAAAUCGUACCCCAAACCGACACAGGUGGUCAGGUAGAGAAUACCAAGGCGCUUGAGAGAACUCGGGUGAAGGAACUAGGCAAAAUGGUGCCGUAACUUCGGGAGAAGGCACGCUGACAC